rnacentral:rRNA from 1 species
UUGUUGGUAAGGUAAAAGCUUACCAAGGCUUCGAUCAGUAGCUGGUCUGAGAGGACGACCAGCCACACUGGGACUGAGACACGGCCCAGACUCCUACGGGAGGCAGCAGUGGGGAAUUUUGGACAAUGGGGGCAACCCUGAUCCAGCCAUGCCGCGUGAGUGAAGAAGGCCUUCGGGUUGUAAAGCUCUUUCAGCCGGAACGAAACGGUUACGGUUAAUACCCGUGACUACUGACGGUACCGGAAGAAGAAGCACCGGCUAACUACGUGCCAGCAGCCGCGGUAAUACGUAGGGUGCGAGCGUUAAUCGGAAUUACUGGGCGUAAAGCGUGCGCAGGUGGUUUUGUAAGUCAGAUGUGAAAGCCCCGGGCUCAACCUGGGAACUGCGUUUGAAACUACAAGACUAGAGUGUGGCAGAGGGGGGUGGAAUUCCGCGUGUAGCAGUGAAAUGCGUAGAGAUGUGGAGGAACACCGAUGGCGAAGGCAGCCCCCUGGGUCAACACUGACGCUCAGGCACGAAAGCAUGGGGAGCAAACAGGAUUAGAUACCCUGGUAGUCCAUGCCCUAAACGAUGUCAACUAGUUGUCGGGCCUUUACGGGCUUGGUAACGUAGCUAACGCGUGAAGUUGACCGCCUGGGGAGUACGAUCGCAAGAUUAAAACUCAAAUGAAUUGACGGGGACCCGCACAAGCGGUGGAUUAUGUGGAUUAAUCCGAUGCAACGCGAAAAACCUUACCUACCCUUGACAUGUAUCGAAGCCCGCAGAAAAGCGGGGGUGCCCGAAAGGGAACGAUAACACAGGUGCUGCAUGGCUGUCGUCAGCUCGUGUCGUGAGAUGUUGGGUUAAGUCCCGCAACGAGCGCAACCCUUGUCAUUAAUUGCCAUCAUUUAGUUGGGCACUUUAAUGAGACUGCCGG